UGGCUUUCUGGGACUGGCAUGUUGUGGGCAUCGUUAGGGUCUGUGCUCCUCUGAUCGCUGAUCGAUUCAUCAUCGAUUGAUCUUCACAAGUUCAAUUGCAUUAUGAGCUCAUUCUGGUCAGAGUUUGGUCGAGCCAAUAGUUUACCUCGUCAAUUUUGAUAUGGAGUAUCUGCGAUUGGUAAUGGUUCAUUCUUGUUGCAUAAGCAUUAAUUCAUGGGACAAGUUCUUCUUUCAGAGUUCUUUCAUGUCUGGAAAGGUCCGCACAUGUUCUAGCUCAUUUCUCUCCCCAUUCUUCUGUAGGACUCCUGAUUGCUCUUUCAGCUGCAUACCGUAUGACUUGAUACUUCUGGCUCUCAUUUUCCAGAGUUAUUUUCUCUUAUUAACAAAAAUUUUAGUGUGGGUGAAUAAAAAUGAAAUUUUGAAGUUCCCUUGCCAUUGAUCAACAGCUCUCUGCUAUCUUUCACCAGCUUUAAGAUGAUGGUGAAUUCAAUUUGGUGAAGAUGGUUGUUGAGACUGAGAUUUUAUCCAACUCUGAUCACAAUCCACUGUCAGUAAGUUGGUCAAUGUGGAGACAAAUUGCUUUUUAUAUGGACAUAGUAUCUUUUUGGUUUUUAAUAGCCAUGGAAUUUGAUUUAGAUGGAGAAGAUGUGCUAAUUGCAGGAGUCUUUCGAUUAUUUCAUAGUUAUUCUAAGUAUAUUACUCGCCUUGUGGUUGGAUAGCAUUUGGUGCACUCCCUUGCUGGUAAUUUCACUUGAAACAAGUGGUUGGUCACAAAUGGAUGAGGUUCUUGCCUUCUCGGGGAAUUGCUUCAGUCAGAUAUGAGUUUUUGGUCUAACUCUUUUCUUUGUUAUUCAGUUGGUAUCGCCUUGAUCGCUUAUAACGUAUAUAAGUUUUUCACCUCAUGGAGAUUCUUCAUAAAACCUGUCUUUACACACCACAACAGAUCACUAUCCAGUAUCCAAUCCAGAUCCGCAUCUUAUAAGUUCGAAGGCCAGUGUCUCCUUCCCAGAAAUAGUCCCUCUCGUGUGUCCUCAUCCUUCAGUUUCAUCUUGCAUCGUGUUCCCCUCUCAGUCGACAGCCUCUGCGAAGUUCAGAUGAGACAUUGUUCCCAAAAUGCGCUCUUGAUCCUCUGCUUUUCUUCUUGUUUCUUGGAUUGAUUGUUAAAUUGGUCUGAUUCUGUUUAUGCUAUCUUAUUUUCCGAAGGUUACACCUGGCCUCUCUGGGACUUUCACAUGUUGUGGGCGUUGUUAGAGUUUGCACUCUUCUGGUCGUUGAUAGAUUCAUCAUUGAUUGAUCUUUCCAUUGUAUUAUGAGCUGAUUCUGGUAAAGACUAAUUCCGUGAAUUGGCAGUGGCUUCUUUCUUCCUGGAGCGAUCGUUUUUUUUUUCUCUGAGGAUGUUGUCUGAGGACAAUUAAUACAAUGCAACUGGUCAGUCGGUUACCUAGAAUAUGACAUUUGGGCUUUUUAGAGGACUGAUGAUCUUGCACUCUUUGGUUGAGCUGAUGAUCUUUAGAAGCCUUUUUUCUUCAAGAAAAACGGUGGACUGAAAUUUUGACAACCUUCUAGGCUUCUUUUACAGAUUGAAAGUUUUACUGGAUUUGACAGCUGGUGAUCUGUUGCUUUUUCUGUGGGCUGAGUUGAUAAUCGCUUGAAAUUGGAUGAGCUCUGUUUUCGGAUUUUGGGCAGUUAAUUGGUUUCAAUAAAACUCUUCCUUUACUUCUGUCAUUUCUUAGUUAAUCCGAGAGAUCAGAUCUAGUUCUCUUCCCUUCGCAGAUCAGAGUUUGGUCAAGGCAAUAUUUCAUGUGGCCAAGUUCGACAUGGAGUGUCUACAAUGCAGCAUCAAUUUCUAAUUUGUCUUCCACUUCUGUGAUCUUCGAGUCAAGGUGGUUAUCAUCUAGUUGAGGUGGAACGAUAAGAUGUUUUCUUUCCUUUGUAGGUCAUAGUUUGGUCGAGGCAAUCCUUUAACUCGUCCAUUUCACGAUGGAGUGUCUGUGAUCAGUGAUGGCUCUUUCUUGCUGCAUAAGAAUUAAUUUAUAGGACAAGCUCUUCUGUCAGAGUUCUUUCUUGUCUGGAAAGGUCCAGACAAGUAGUAGCUCGUUUCUCUUCAUUCUUAUCUGUGUGCCACAAUCACUAAUUGGAUCUCUGGUUAUUCAUGAAGAUAUCAUUAAGAUGUAUGCGUUAUGCACUUCUUCCCCAUCGUGGAAAUCGCUCUUGGCAUUACCUACUUUGCUUCGCCUUCCUUUGUACACGACUUCUGUGUUUUUCUUUUGGUACAGAUCAAGAGGUCAUUUCGUGUUCUUUCUGUGCAAGAGAUUGUUCAAGUUGGAUUCAGUCAAUGGCCAUAUAAAUAUCUAAAGAAUUGUAGGUUUUAUUUGGUUAUUGGGACUGUGAAGGCUGUUUGCUGACAGAAUCGGUUUUACUUCAGGGCAUACUGGUAGAAUUUUAUUUUUUGAUGAUGUAUUUCAAAUAACUAUCUGGAUUGUUAUUCUUGAUCUUUCUUAUUUUAAAUCUAUUUUUUAACAGAUGAUGAUAGUUGAUACUAGUUGUUCUUUGUUAUUUUAGAGUGUACUUUCUCUUCAGAAUUGGAUUGGAAACUUUUGAUUUGUAUGUCUUGGAGAAGUGGUGAUCUAUUAUGCAGUUUUUGUUUGCUCGAGUUCUGAAAUAGUCUCUGACCACAUAUUCAGGACAGGCGCUGGACUGGAAUUUUGAAGAUCUCUAGGCAUUUUGUAGUUUUGAUUUAAGUUUGUCUUCAGUUGACUGUCUUCAGGGAGCAGUGAGAUAGAAAUUGUUGAGUUCUCUCUAGAGGCUUAAGUUUUGCCGGGUUUGAGAAGUGGUGAUCUAUUGUGUUCUUCUGUAGGGCUGAGUUGAUGAUUGUUUGAAAUUGGACAAGCAGCUGCUUUGUGGAUUCUAGGCAGUUAUUGGUUUGAAUGAAGUUUGUUUUCCACUUCUGCUUUUUUCCGUUUAUGGUGAGAUGAUUAGGCCUUCCUCAUUUUCCUUGUAUUGCAAGCCUCUUUUGUUUAGGUAUGGGCUGUCUUUAAUCUGUAAUGGUUCUUUUUACAUUUCAAUUAACAAGCUCUUAUUUAUUUGAGCUUCUCUUGCCUUUUGUUGUUUUUGGAAAAUGAAUAGUCAUUCACUAUCUUCCAUUGUAGGGAUUGUUUAUGAAUCUGGAAAGCUUGGGAUCCUCAAAGUUAUGGCUUGUUUCUAUACUUGUAAUGCAUGCUGCAUUAACUAAAGUGAUUGGUGGUAAAUCAUGGAGAUAUUGCAAGUGUAAUUUAUAUGCGAAUGCUAGCUUCAUACAAUUUACUUAGCUUAGGGUUUCAUUC